rnacentral:lncRNA from 1 species
CAGCACUGAAACAGGUAUUGCCCUGUUCUUCUGAUCCCUUUUUCCAUUUGUGUCGGUUGGCAUAUGGCAUAUGGACGGGGGAUUAGACACAGAAGUCUUACUGACUAUUGUAUUUCUAGGUUGAGAAUGAAGAUGAGAUUAAGAAUCUCAGAGAGCUUCAUGAUUUGGUUUACUCUCAAGCCUGCAGCUGGUUUCAGAAUUUAAGAGACAGAUUUCGAAGCCAAAUUCUUCAGCAUUUCGGAUCAAUGCCCGAGAGGGAGGAAAACCUUCAGGCAGCCCCUAAUGGACCUGCAUGGUGUUGGUGGCUUCUUGCAGUUCUCCCUGUAGACCCACGAUACCAGCUGUCGGUUUUGUCAAUGAAGUCUUUGAAAGAACGGUUGACCAAGAUACAGCAUAUACUGACCUAUUUUUCUAGAGACCAAUCUAAGUAACUAACUCUUUGGAUCUCCCUUUAAAGUGACCCUAAUCUGGCUGCAUUGAUGGCCAGAUUGUCUGCUGCCUUUGCACAUCUAGUGCUGGUUUCAGAAAUUUAAUGAAACUUUUCUUUUUCCUUCGACCUCCUGAAUCAUGUGGUUCUGCAAAUGAAUACCUUCAACUAGGAUUUAGACCACUAAGAACUUGCACAGAAAAACACGCAUUGAAUGUGUGUCGAACCUCUACAUUGUGAAGUUGCACUAUGUACCAUACUCUAAAAUGAAAUAAGAACUCUUUAUGUCUGUGAGAGAGUGUGUGUGUGUGUGUGCGUGCGUGUGUGCUUGUGGGGGUUGGG